UUGCAGUCGUCCGAUCUUCAAUCAUAUCCGUGUAAACUCACUAUUUACAAGGAUUUUUUCUAGUUUCUUCCAACUCCUUCACGCAUCCAUGCCUCACUCUCUCAAUAACUGCUAAUUAGUUUUAUUGAAGAACUGCAGCCAUGUAUCCCACCACAUCUUCAACCAUCCACUUUUUCAUAUAAUGUAUCCUUCUUGAACUCCACUUCUCUGUCUUUGUCUGCGUCUUUGCUCCAUGAAACUGAUAACCGCAUCACCCGAUGUGCUCUAAUUCUCUCCACCACGUUCUUUUAACCAUAUCCCUUUAUCACUCCAAACUCUACAUAUAAAUAUUCAGGGAGAGAGAGAGACCGGUUGUUGCUCUCCUUUCCCCCACUCUAUCACAAAUCAUUUUUCCCCGAUUUCUCACGACAACAAAGAUAGCUAUGAAGCCCACUGAAUUUGCCCCUAAUUUGAUUGAUUUUUACAUGUACAUUUCCUUCAAUAAAUUGUUCCUCCCACGUUCUAGCUCGUCCCUAAGCCUACAUGAAAUUAUUGAUCUUACUAGCGAGGUUCGGGAACAUAAAUAAAAAAGCAUAAGGAAUUAAAUUGAGGUUUGCUUUUUCUAUAUCUUCCACAUCUUAAUUUCAUGUCUUUUUCUUCCUCUAACCUCUCUUCUAUAAAUUUUCUACAAUCGACUUUUUGUUACAAUCUAUAUGGGUUUUGAUUUGGCCUCUUGGGAUUCUGUUUCAAGGAAUUUCUCGAUUUCCUUGCAUAUUUGUUCUUAUUUGUUUCUAAUACAUAGACAGUGCAUACCAACUAUUUAUGGAAAUGCCCAAGUGAAACUGGAUUUUUCAUUUUUUCUAGAAUUAAGGUUUGGAUAUGUAUGCUUCAGUUUGUUGUUGUUGGUGGUGAUAGAACUACUUGUGUGGAGUUUGUAGCCGAGAUCCAUGAUUUUGUUUAUGAGGAUUUGGUGAGAUUGUAUCAAGUGUUAAAGAUUUGGUCAAAAUAUCACUUCUUGAGGCAACUAACCAUAUACUUAACAUGUCUUGAUUUCAUCGUAUAAGCAAGAAGUUUAUUUGUGAGAUAGUUGUUGAAGGUUUGUGUGACAACUUUUUCAUAUGGACUGGGUAGUUGGAAAACUUACCAUGUCAAGGAUAAUCAAUUAGAGGUGAUUGAUAUUACGAUGAUGGGAUAACAAAGUAAAUGAUUAAGUUUAGUGAUUUCCAGGUGGCUAACAAAAUAAAUUCUAUGUAGAUCUCCAUUCACCAUUUAUUUUUUUUUAACAAAUAAUAGCAACACACUUUUCUUUUUAA